AACGAACGCUGGCGGCAGGCUUAACACAUGCAAGACGAGCGCCCCGCAAGGGGAGCGGCAGACGGGUGAGUAACGCGUGGGAAUCUACCCAUCUCUACGGAAUAACGCAUGGAAACGUGUGCUAAUACCGUAUACGUCCUUCGGGAGAAAGAUUUAUCGGAGAUGGAUGAGCCCGCGUUGGAUUAGCUAGUUGGUGGGGUAAAGGCCUACCAAGGCGACGAUCCAUAGCUGGUCUGAGAGGAUGAUCAGCCACACUGGGACUGAGACACGGCCCAGACUCCUACGGGAGGCAGCAGUGGGGAAUAUUGGACAAUGGGCGCAAGCCUGAUCCAGCCAUGCCGCGUGAGUGGUGAAGGCCCUAGGGUUGUAAAGCUCUUUCACCGGUGAAGAUAAUGACGGUAACCGGAGAAGAAGCCCCGGCUAACUUCGUGCCAGCCGCCGCCGUAAUAC
rnacentral:rRNA from 1 species